rnacentral:rRNA from 1 species
AUACGUAGGUGGCAAGCGUUGUCCGGAUUUACUGGGCGUAAAGGGAGCGUAGGCGGUUUAUUAAGGCUGAAGUGAAAACCCAGGGCUCAACCCUGGGACUGCUUUGGAAACUGUUUUGCUAGAGUGUCGGAGAGGUAAGUGGAAUUCCUAGUGUAGCGGUGAAAUGCGUAGAUAUUAGGAGGAACACCAGCGGCGAAGGCGGCUUACUGGACGAUAACUGACGUUGAGGCUCGAAAGCGUGGGGAGCAAACAGGAUUAGAUACCCUGGUAGUCCACGCCGUAAACGAUGAGCACUAAGUGUCGGAUGAAUUUUCGGCGCUGCAGUUAACACAAUAAGUGCUCCGCCUGGGGAGUACGGUCGCAAGACUGAAACUUAAAUGAAUUGGCGGGG